rnacentral:tRNA from 1 species
ACCAGGAUGGCCGAGUGUAGGCGUUGGACGUAGGUUCCAAUGGAUUAAAGUCCUCGUGGGUUCAAACCCCACUCCUGGUA